rnacentral:hammerhead_ribozyme from 1 species
ACACUUCUGUCGAGUCCCACACAGGACGAAACAGCUGUCCAGUGC